AGAGUACCAUAAUGGCUGUGGUUAACAGAUGUCUGAAGGUCCUCUUCAUUGGAAUAAACAUCAUACACAUAAUUUUAGCUGGUGUGGUUUUUACACUAGCUGUUCUGCUGGGCUACAACACCCAGGUUAUAAAUGUGGGGCUUGUAAUGAUAGCAAUGUGGCUACUGGCUUCAAGUCACUUGGUGGUGGCUAGCCUUGGUAUCCAUGGUGCCAGAGAAGAGAAGAAGGUGCCCCUGAUCGCGUUUAUUUCAGCAAAUGUGAUUGAUCUGACCUUAAUGCAAUUGCAUGGGGCACAGCUUGCCAAACCAGAUAUACUGUUGAGCCAGUUGAGGAGUAUUGAUGCUGAAUCAGCUGUCAGCUUUGGCCUUGCUGCCUUAUGGUUGACCGGGAUUAUCCUGGCAGCCAUGAUCAUGCAACAGCUCCACAGCCGGCAGGCUGCCAUGACAGAUGUUGAGGGUAAACCCCCAGGAUACUCUCAGAUGUUGAGGGUAAACCCCCAGGAUACUCUCAGAUGUUGAGGGUAAACCCCCAGGAUACUCUCAGAUGUGCCCAAUGAGCAGCAAGUGAGCAGAGAGCUGGACACACAGGAUUCUCCCAAAUCACCACACAGCUAAUGACACAUAUUAAAGAAUUACACAUGACUAAGAAUGAAGUCAAAAUGUCUGUAAAGUAUCUGAAAAAUCUCUGCCUCUCUCUCUCACACAACAAACACACACACACACACACACACACACACACACACACUUAAUGGCACAUAUUAAAGAAAUACAUAUGAAUAAGAAUACGCCUGUGAGUGAUUUAUUUGAACAAGUCUCCAUCUCUCUUCUCUUUCUUUCUCAAACAAGCACACACACAUAUGUGCACACUCACACCAGGGGCGGACUGGGGGGAAAAAGUGGCCCGGGAGUUACUGUCAGACAGGCCCACAAGGCGCGCU
rnacentral:lncRNA from 1 species